rnacentral:tRNA from 1 species
GGGGCGAUAGCUCAGUUGGUUAGAGCAGCGGACUCAUAACCCGCCGGUCGUCGGUUCGAGCCCGACUCGCCCCA